CGGGUAUAACCUCGGGAAACUGAGGCUAAACCCCGAUAGGCUAUAGCCUCUGGAAUGAGCUAUAGCUGAAAUCUAUAUGGCCCUAGGAUGGGACUGCGGCCGAUCAGGUAGUUGGUGGGGUAAUGGCCCACCAAGCCUAUAACCGGUGCGGGCUCUGAGAGGAGGAGCCCGGAGAUGGGCACUGAGACAAGGGCCCAGGUCCUAUGGGGCGCAGCAGGCGCGAAACCUCCGCAAUGGGCGAAAGCCCGACGGGGUUAGUCCGAGUGGUCCCUGCUGAAGGGGCCUUUUGCCAGCUGUAAAAAGGCUGGAGAAUAAGGGGUGGGCAAGUUUGGUGUCAGCCGCCGCGGUAAUACCAGCACCCCGAGUGGUCGGGACGAUUAUUGGGCCUAAAGCAUCCGUAGCCGGCUUAGCAAGUCUUCCGUUAAAUCCAACGGCUUAACCGUUGGGCUGCGGAGGAUACUGCUAAGCUAGGGGGCGGGAGAGGCGAGGGGUAUUCCCAGGGUAGGGGUAAAAUCCGUUGAUCCUGGGAGGACCACCAGUGGCGAAGGCGCCUCGCUAGAACGCGCCCGACGGUGAGGGAUGAAAG
rnacentral:rRNA from 1 species